rnacentral:piRNA from 1 species
UGAUUCUGUGUGUAAGAGAUAAGAUGUAACU